rnacentral:rRNA from 1 species
CUGUAAAGACAGCGUCACAGUAACCAAGACUAAAAUACCAAAAAAUAACAAAAUCUCCUACACACCAACCGGAUAAUUCUACAAACCUGUAGAAGAAUUAAUGCUAGAAUAAGUAAUUUAAGUUACACUUCAAAGACAGAAUUUUAAAUAGAAACGCUACACCCAACAGACCAACAAAGGAACAAUGACACCUAACCCAACAACACAUGAAUUUUACUGUUUAUCCAACAUAGGACUGUCCACCCAUAGGCAAAAAACCUUAAAAGGAACUCGGCAAUCAACUUCUCCAACUGUUUACCAAAAACAUAGCUUCUAGCACACCAAGUAUUAGAAGUAACGCCUGCCCUGUGGAAACCCUAAACGGCCGCGGCACUAAAACCGUGCAAAGGUAGCACAAUCACUUGUCCAUUAAAUGAGGACCCGUAUGAAAGGCAACAUGAGAGAAAACCUGUCUCCUAAGGCUAGCCAAUGAAAUUGUUCUACCAGCACAAAAACUGGUAUAUCAUAGCAAGACAAAAAGACCCUGUGGAACUUUUAACAAAUUGUUUAAACACGUAAACAACAGUUUCAGUUGGGACAACUUUAGAAAAAAUAAACUUCUUAAUUUACCAAGACAAACAAGUCCAAGACAACAAAGACAAAGAUCCAGUAAUACUGAUUAACGAAACAAGCUACCCCAGGGAUAACAGCGCCACCUUCUCAAAGAGUCCAUAUCAACAAGAAGAUCUACGACCUCGAUGUUGGAUCAGGGUACCCAGACGGUGCAACAGCUGUCAAUGGUUCGUUUGUUCAACGAUUAAUACCCUACGUGAUCU